GAUUAAGUUAUUAAGGGCGCACGGUGGAUGCCUUGGCACUAGAAGCCGAAGAAGGACGUUACUAACGACGAUAUGCUUUGGGGAGCUGUAAGUACGCUUUGAUCCAGAGAUUUCCGAAUGGGGAAACCCAGCAUGAGUUAUGUCAUGUUAUCCGCAUAUGAAUACAUAGUAUGUGAGAAGGCACACCCGGAGAACUGAAACAUCUUAGUACCCGGAGGAAGAGAAAGAAAACUCGAUUCCCUGAGUAGCGGCGAGCGAAACGGGAAGAGCCCAAACCAAUAGGCUUGCCUAUUGGGGUUGUAGGACACUCUAUACGGAGUUACAAAGGAAAUGAUUAGACGAAUGGUUUUGGAAAAGCCAACCAUAGAAGGUAAAGGUCCUGUAGUCGAAAGUCAUUUCUCUCCUGAGUGGAUCCUGAGUACGGCGGAACACGUGAAAUUCCGUCGGAAUCUGGGAGGACCAUCUCCCAAGGCUAAAUACUCUCUAGUGACCGAUAGUGAACCAGUACCGUGAGGGAAAGGUGAAAAGCACCCCGGAAGGGGAGUGAAAUAGAACCUGAAACCGUGUGCUUACAAAUAGUCAGAGCCCGUUAAUGGGUGAUGGCGUGCCUUUUGUAGAAUGAACCGGCGAGUUACGAUUUGAUGCAAGGUUAAGCAGUAAAUGUGGAGCCGUAGCGAAAGCGAGUCUGAAUAGGGCGAAUGAGUAUCUGGUCGUAGACCCGAAACCAAGUGAUCUACCCAUGUCCAGGUUGAAGUUCAGGUAACACUGAAUGGAGGACCGAACCGACUUACGUUGAAAAGUGAGCGGAUGAGGUGUGGGUAGCGGAGAAAUUCCAAUCGAACUUGGAGAUAGCUGGUUCUCUCCGAAAUAGCUUUAGGGCUAGCCUCAAGUGAUGAUUAUUGGAGGUAGAGCACUGUUUGGACGAGGGGCCCCUCUCGGGUUACCGAAUUCAGACAAACUCCGAAUGCCAAAUAAUUUAACUUGGGAGUCAGACUAUGGGUGAUAAGGUCCGUAGUCGAAAGGGAAACAGCCCAGACCACCAGCUAAGGUCCCAAAAUAUAUGUUAAGUGGAAAAGGAUGUGGCGUUGCCCAGACAACUAGGAUGUUGGCUUAGAAGCAGCCAUCAUUUAAAGAGUGCGUAAUAGCUCACUAGUCGAGUGACACUGCGCCGAAAAUGUACCGGGGCUAAACAUAUUACCGAAGCUGUGGAUUAUCCGUAAGGAUAAUGGUAGGAGAGCGUUCUAAACGUGUCGAAGCAUGAUCGUAAGGACAUGUGGAAUGUUUAGAAGUGAGAAUGCCGGUGUGAGUAGCGAAAGAUGGGUGAGAAUCCCAUCCACCGAUUGACUAAGGUUUCCAGAGGAAGGCUCGUCCGCUCUGGGUUAGUCGGGACCUAAGCCGAGGCCGAUAGGCGUAGGCGAUGGAUAACAGGUAGAUAUUCCUGUACCACCUAUGAUUGUUUGA
rfam:Staphylococcus aureus C0673 genomic scaffold aedLz-supercont1.38, whole genome shotgun sequence.